UCAAGCCCCUCGCGUGGCGUUACCUCGUGAACCUCCCCAGGGCCGGAAGGCAGCAAGGAUAAGCGAGCUCUGGCGGGUACGCGGGGGGCCCUUUUU
rnacentral:SRP_RNA from 1 species